GUUGUCUUGACCGAGUGGUUUAGGCGAUAGACUAGAAAUCUUUUGGGAUCUUCCCGCGCAGGUUCGACUCCUUCCGACAACG
rnacentral:tRNA from 1 species